UCUUGCACACGGUGGAAGCUUUGUUUUUUAGCUCUUUGUAGUAAAUCUUGCUGCUGCUCGUUGUUUGGGUCCACAGUGUCUUUAUGAGCUGUAACACUCACUGCGAAGGUCUGCAGCUUCACUCCUGAGGCCAGCAAGACCACGAACCCACGGGGAGGAAUGAACAACUCCCCACGGGAGGAACGAACAACUCCCCACACCUUAAAAGCUGUAACACUCACCGGGAAGAUCUGCAGCUUCACUCUUGAAGCCAGUGAGACCACGAACCCACCAGAAGAAACUUCGAAUACGUCCGAACGUCAGAAGGAACAAACUCCAGACACACCAUCUUUAGGAACUGUAACACUCACGGAAGUAUAUGUGUCGGAAGAGGUUGCAAGCGACAACACCAGAUGGCUCCCGUAAAAGGGGUCUUUAUGGGAGAAGGGUUUUCUUGGCUGGAUGGAGUGCCCCAGCUCUGCAGAGGAAUCUACUGUCUAAUGCUCAUCUUCAUUCUUCCCAGUGGCCAUAGCUACUUCAAAGAGGCCCAAUGUGGCCAUGGAGACUAGUCUACCAUCCAGGCACAGGGGACUCUGGCAGAGAAGGACAAUGUCGAAUAAAGACAAAAUUAAUCCCGAUCUCUCCAAGUGGGCUCCUCUACUAUAAUACCUCCAGACAAAGACAUUUCAUGGUGUGAUGCUAUCCCCCCCUUCACAAUCCAGGAAGUUUUUCGUACUCAUCAGUAAUACUUCUUGCUACAGUGCAAAUCCGUUUCCUUGCCCAGAAGCAGA
rnacentral:lncRNA from 1 species